GUCGAGCGGGAUGAGUGGGAGCUUGCUCCAUGAUUCAGCGGCGGACGGGUGAGUAAUGCCUAGGAAUCUGCCUGGUAGUGGGGGACAACGUUUCGAAAGGAACGCUAAUACCGCAUACGUCCUACGGGAGAAAGUGGGGGAUCUUCGGACCUCACGCUAUCAGAUGAGCCUAGGUCGGAUUAGCUAGUUGGUGAGGUAAAGGCUCACCAAGGCGACGAUCCGUAACUGGUCUGAGAGGAUGAUCAGUCACACUGGAACUGAGACACGGUCCAGACUCCUACGGGAGGCAGCAGUGGGGAAUAUUGGACAAUGGGCGAAAGCCUGAUCCAGCCAUGCCGCGUGUGUGAAGAAGGUCUUCGGAUUGUAAAGCACUUUAAGUUGGGAGGAAGGGCAGUAAGUUAAUACCUUGCUGUUUUGACGUUACCAACAGAAUAAGCACCGGCUAACUUCGUGCCAGCAGCCGCGGUAAUACGAAGGGUGCAAGCGUUAAUCGGAAUUACUGGGCGUAAAGCGCGCGUAGGUGGUUCGUUAAGUUGGAUGUGAAAGCCCCGGGCUCAACCUGGGAACUGCAUCCAAAACUGG
rnacentral:rRNA from 1 species